GAUGAAGAACGUAGUGAAAUGCGAUAAGUAAUGUGAAUUGCAGAAUUCAGUGAAUCAUCGAAUCUUUGAACGCACAUUGCGCCCCUUGGUAUUCCGGGGGGCAUGCCUGUUCGAGCGUCAUUACAACCCUCAAGCUCUGCUUGGUCUUGGGCGUCACCGGUCCCCGGUGUGCCUUAAAAUCAGUGGCGGCGCCAUCUGGCUCUAAGCGUAGUACAUACUCUCGCUACAGACGUCCGGUGGAUGCUGGCCAGCAACCCCCAAUUUAUCAAGGUUGACCUCGGAUCAGGUAGGGAUACCCGCUGAACUUAAGCAUAUCAUAAGCGGAGGA
rnacentral:misc_RNA from 1 species